UGGCCCAUCUGCCCACAAUUCGGGAGAC
rnacentral:piRNA from 1 species